rnacentral:snRNA from 1 species
GUGCUUGCUUCAGCAGCACAUAUACUAAAACUGGAAUGAUACAGAGAAGAUUGGCAUGGCCCCCGCACAAGUAUGAAAUGCAAAUUCGUGAAGUGUUCCAUAUUUUU